rnacentral:rRNA from 2 species
GUGGGGGAUAACGUUCCGAAAGGAACGCUAAUACCGCAUACGUCCUACGGGAGAAAGCAGGGGACCUUCGGGCCUUGCGCUAUCAGAUGAGCCUAGGUCGGAUUAGCUAGUUGGUGAGGUAAUGGCUCACCAAGGCGACGAUCCGUAACUGGUCUGAGAGGAUGAUCAGUCACACUGGAACUGAGACACGGUCCAGACUCCUACGGGAGGCAGCAGUGGGGAAUAUUGGACAAUGGGCGAAAGCCUGAUCCAGCCAUGCCGCGUGUGUGAAGAAGGUCUUCGGAUUGUAAAGCACUUUAAGUUGGGAGGAAGGGCAUUAACCUAAUACGUUAGUGUUUUGACGUUACCAAC